rnacentral:rRNA from 1 species
CCUACGGGAGGCUGCAGUGGGGGAUAUUGCACAAUGGGGGAAACCCUGAUGCAGCGACGCCGCGUGGGCGAAGAAGUAUUUCGGUAUGUAAAGCCCUAUCAGCAGGGAAGAAGAAAUGACGGUACCUGAGUAAGAAGCACCGGCUAACUACGUGCCAGCAGCCGCGGUAAUACGUAUGGUGCAAGCGUUAUCCGGAUUUACUGGGUGUAAAGGGAGCGCAGGCGGGACGGCAAGCCUGAUGUGAAAGCCAGCGGCCCAACCGCGGGACUGCAUUGGAAACUACCGGGCUGGAGUGCCGGAGAGGUAGGCGGAAUUCCUAGUGUAGCGGUGAAAUGCGUAGAUAUUAGGAGGAACACCAGUGGCGAAGGCGGCCUGCUGGACGGUGACUGACGCUGAGGCUCGAAAGCGUGGGGAGCAAACAGGAUUAGAUACCCUUGUAGUC